rnacentral:rRNA from 1 species
AGUGAACGCUGGCGGUAGGCCUAACACAUGCAAGUCGAACGGCAGCACAGUAAGAGCUUGCUCUUACGGGUGGCGAGUGGCGGACGGGUGAGGAAUACAUCGGAAUCUACUUUUUCGGGGGGGAUAACGUAGGGAAACUUACGCUAAUACCGCAUACGACCUACGGGUGAAAGCAGGAGAUCUUCAGACCUUGCGCGAUUGAAUGAGCCGGCGUCGCAUUAGCUAGUUGGCGGGGUAAAGGCCCACCAAGGCAACGAUGCGUAGCUGAGCUGAGAGGAUGAUCAGCCACACUGGAACUGAGACACGGUCCAGACUCCUACGGGAGGCAGCAGUAGGGAAUCUUCGGCAAUGGGCGGAAGCCUGACGCAGGAACGCCGCGUGGGUGAAGAAGGUCUUCGGGUCGUAAAACUCUUUUUUUGGGGAAAAAAAAAUGUGAGAGUAACUCCCCGCAUCUUGACGGUACCCAAAAAAAAAGCCACGGCUAACUACGUG